GGGCGAGUGGCGCAGUGGUUAGCGCAGAUGCUUUACACGCAUUUGGUCGGGGGUUCGAAUCCCUCCUUGCCCACCA
rnacentral:tRNA from 2 species